rnacentral:rRNA from 1 species
GAGAAACGGCUACCACAUCCAAGGAAGGCAGCAGGCGCGCAAAUUACCCAAUCCGGACACCGGGAGGUAGUGACAAGAAAUAGCAAUAGAGGGCCCGAUGGGUUUUCUAAUUGGAAUGAGAACAAGGUAAACAGCUUAUCGAGGAGCCAGCAGAGGGCAAGUCUGGUGCCAGCAGCCGCGGUAAUUCCAGCUCUGUAAGCGUAUACCAAAGUUGUUGCAGUUAAAACGCUCGUAGUCGGAACUUGGCGGGCGACGCAGGGCGUCUUUGCGGACGGAUCUGUAUCGGCCGCCUUUGUGGAGGGGGGCUUAGUGGUGCUUUAUUGCCUCGCUAAGUCGCUGCCACCGUUUACCGUGAAAAAAUUGGAGUGUUCAAAGCAGGCGUUUGCCUUGUACACAUUAGCAUGGAAUAAUAGAAUAGGACCUGGUUCUGUUUUGUUGGUUUGUGAGAAUUAGGUAAUGAUUAAGAGGGACGGUUGGGGGCAUUUGUAUUCUGCCGUCAGA